AGCGUAGACGGAUGGACAAGUCUGAUGUGAAAGGCUGGGGCUCAACCCCGGGACUGCAUUGGAAACUGCCCGUCUUGAGUGCCGGAGAGGUAAGCGGAAUUCCUAGUGUAGCGGUGAAAUGCGUAGAUAUUAGGAGGAACACCAGUGGCGAAGGCGGCUUACUGGACGGUAACUGACGUUGAGGCUCGAAAGUAUGGGUAGCAAACA
rnacentral:rRNA from 1 species